rnacentral:rRNA from 1 species
CCUACGGGUGGCAGCAGUGAGGACUAUUGGUCAAUGGGCGAGAGCCUGAACCAGCCAAGUCGCGUGAGGGAGUACUGCCCUAUGGGUUGUAAACCUCUUUUGUCGGGGAGCAAAAGCCGGACGUGUCCGGCUGUGAGAGUACCCGAAGAAAAAGCAUCGGCUAACUCCGUGCCAGCAGCCGCGGUAAUACGGAGGAUGCGAGCGUUAUCCGGAUUUAUUGGGUUUAAAGGGUGCGCAGGCGGAUUUUUAAGUCAGCGGUCAAAUCGUGGGGCUCAACCCCCUCCAGCCGUUGAAACUGGGGAUCUAGAGUGUGCGAGAGGUAUGCGGAAUGCGUGGUGUAGCGGUGAAAUGCAUAGAUAUCACGAAGAACCCCGAUUGCGAAGGCAGCCUGCCGCAGCGUUACUGACGCUGAAGCUCGAAAGCGCGGGUAUCGAACAGGAUUAGAUACCCCUGUAGUC